UACGUAGGAUGCAAGCGUUGUCCGGAUUUACUGGGCGUAAAGCGCGCGCAGGCGGCACUCUAAGUACGUCGUGAAAUAUCCCGGCUCAACCGGGAGGGUGCGAUGUAGACUAGGGAGCUAGAGGUCGGUAGAGGGGGGUGGAAUUGCUGGUGUAGCGGUGAAAUGCGUAGAGAUCAGGAGGAACACCUGUGGCGAAGGCGGAUCUCUGGGCCAUUACUGACGCUGAGGAGCGAAAGCGUGGGGAGCGAACAGG
rnacentral:rRNA from 1 species